GGGUGAUUAGCUCAGAUGGUAGAGCAGCUGACUCUUAAUCAGCGGGUCCACGGU
rnacentral:tRNA from 1 species